rnacentral:rRNA from 1 species
UUCCGGUUGAUCCCGCCGGAGGCUACCGCUAUUGGAGUUCGAUUAAGCCAUGCGAGUCGAGAGUCCUCGGGACUCGGCGUACCGCUCAGUAACACGUGGAUAACCUGCCCUAUUGUCUGGAAUAACCUCGGGAAACUGAGAACAAGGCCGGAUAGCCCACAAUGCCUGGAACGGUUUGUGGGUGAAGAUAGGAUGGGUCUGCGGCGUAUCAGGUCGUAGGGGGUGUAAUGGACCUCCUAGCCAUCGACGCGUACGGGUGUUGGGAGACAUAGCCCGGAGAUGGAUUCUGAGACACGAAUCCAGGUCCUACGGGACGCAGUAGGCGCGAAAACUUCACACUGCAGGAAACUGUGAUGAGGGAACUCCAAGUGCUAUCACUAUGUGGUAGCUUUUCUUAACUAUUAAUCGGUUUUGGAAUAAGGGCUGGGAAAGACCGGUGCCAGCCGCCGCGGUAAUACCGGCAGCUCAAGUGGUCGUCGCUUUUAUUGGGCCUAAAACGUCCGUAGCCUGUUUGGUAAAUCUGUGGGUAAAUCAACCAGCUUAACUGGUUGAAUUCUGCAGAGACUGCCAGACUAGGGACCGGGAGAGGUGUGGGGUACUCUAGGGGUAGGGGUAAAAUCCUGUCAUCCUUAGAGGACCACCAGUUGCGAAGGCGCCACACUGGAACGGAUCCGACGGUCAGGGACGAAGCCUAGGGGCACGAACCGGAUUAGAUACCCGGGUAGUCCUAGGUGUAAACGCUGUGAACUUGGUGUCGGGGAUCCGUAAUGGGUUCUCGGUGCCGGAGUGAAGAUGUUAAGUUCACUGCCUGGGGAGUACGGGUCGCAAGGCUGAAACUUAAAGGAAUUGGUCGGGGGAGCACUGCAACGGGAGGAGCGUGCGGUUUAAUUGGAUUCAACGCCGGAA